AUCAUCUGGAAAGAUGAAUCAAAGAAGGUAAUAAUCCUGUAGUCGAAAAUGUUGUCUCUCUUGAGUGGAUCCUGAGUACGACGGAGCACGUGAAAUUCCGUCGGAAUCUGGGAGGACCAUCUCCUAAGGCUAAAUACUCUCUAGUGACCGAUAGUGAACCAGUACCGUGAGGGAAAGGUGAAAAGCACCCCGGAAGGGGAGUGAAAUAGAACCUGAAACCGUGUGCUUACAAGUAGUCAGAGCCCGUUAAUGGGUGAUGGCGUGCCUUUUGUAGAAUGAACCGGCGAGUUACGAUUUGAUGCAAGGUUAAGCAGUAAAUGUGGAGCCGUAGCGAAAGCGAGUCUGAAUAGGGCGUUUAGUAUUUGGUCGUAGACCCGAAACCAGGUGAUCUACCCUUGGUCAGGUUGAAGUUCAGGUAACACUGAAUGGAGGACCGAACCGACUUACGUUGAAAAGUGAGCGGAUGAACUGAGGGUAGCGGAGAAAUUCCAAUCGAACCUGGAGAUAGCUGGUUCUCUCCGAAAUAGCUUUAGGGCUAGCCUCAAGUGAUGAUUAUUGGAGGUAGAGCACUGUUUGGACGAGGGGCCCCUCUCGGGUUACCGAAUUCAGACAAACUCCGAAUGCCAAUUAAUUUAACUUGGGAGUCAGAACAUGGGUGAUAAGGUCCGUGUUCGAAAGGGAAACAGCCCAGACCACCAGCUAAGGUCCCAAAAUAUAUGUUAAGUGGAAAAGGAUGUGGCGUUGCCCAGACAACUAGGAUGUUGGCUUAGAAGCAGCCAUCAUUUAAAGAGUGCGUAAUAGCUCACUAGUCGAGUGACACUGCGCCGAAAAUGUACCGGGGCUAAACAUAUUACCGAAGCUGUGGAUUGUCCUUUGGACAAUGGUAGGAGAGCGUUCUAAGGGCGUUGAAGCAUGAUCGUAAGGACAUGUGGAGCGCUUAGAAGUGAGAAUGCCGGUGUGAGUAGCGAAAGACGGGUGAGAAUCCCGUCCACCGAUUGACUAAGGUUUCCAGAGGAAGGCUCGUCCGCUCUGGGUUAGUCGGGUCCUAAGCUGAGGCCGACAGGCGUAGGCGAUGGAUAACAGGUUGAUAUUCCUGUACCACCUAUA
rnacentral:rRNA from 1 species